rnacentral:rRNA from 1 species
AGAGGGAAGAGCUCAAAUUUAAAAUCUGGCAGUGUCUUGCUGUCCGAGUUGUAAUCUAGAGAAGUGCUGCCCGUGCUGGACCAUGUACAAGUCUCCUGGAAUGGAGCGUCACAGAGGGUGAGAAUCCCGUCUUUGACAUGGACUACCAGUGCAUUUGUGGUGUGCUCUCAAAGAGUCGAGUUGUUUGGGAAUGCAGCUCUAAAUGGGUGGUAAACUCCAUCUAAAGCUAAAUAUUGGCGAGAGACCGAUAGCGAACAAGUACCGUGAGGGAAAGAUGAAAAGAACUUUGGAAAGAGAGUUAAACAGUAUGUGAAAUUGUUGAAAGGGAAACGCUUAAAGUCAGUCGUGUCGGCCAGGGAUCAACUCAGCUUUCUUUGCUGGGUGUACUUCCUGAUCUGAUGGGCCAACAUCAGUUUUGACUGCUGGAGAAGGAUAGAGGGAAUGUGGCACCUUUGGGUGUGUUAUAGCUCUCUGUCAGAUGCANUGGUUGGGACUGAGGA